rnacentral:rRNA from 1 species
GACGAACGCUGGCGGCGUGCUUAACACAUGCAAGUCGAACGGAAAGGCCCUGCUUUUGUGGGGUGCUCGAGUGGCGAACGGGUGAGUAACACGUGAGUAACCUGCCCUUGACUUUGGGAUAACUUCAGGAAACUGGGGCUAAUACCGGAUAGGAGCUCCUGCUGCAUGGUGGGGGUUGGAAAGUUUCGGCGGUUGGGGAUGGACUCGCGGCUUAUCAGCUUGUUGGUGGGGUAGUGGCUUACCAAGGCUUUGACGGGUAGCCGGCCUGAGAGGGUGACCGGCCACAUUGGGACAGAGAUACGGCCCAGACUCCUACGGGAGGGAGCAGUGGGGAAUAUUGCACAAUGGGCGGAAGCCUGAUGCAGCAACGCCGCGUGCGGGAUGACGGCCUUCGGGUUGUAAACCGCUUUCGCCUGUGACGAAGCGUGAGUGACGGUAAUGGGUAAAGAAGCACCGGCUAACUACGUG